UUCAAUCCCUGAAGGAACUGUUAGGCUUGA
rnacentral:piRNA from 1 species